CCUCCGAACAUGCCCACGUAGAUUAUUUUUAUAAACCAGAUUAUAUAAUCUAUCUUCAUAAUCCAGAUUAUCAUGUUAAACUUCAAAUGUUCCUGGCCUUUCUUAUUGUUCAUGUUUGCUAUUAUAACUGUACUGAAAGAUUUGGUGGAAGAUGGAUUGGUUCCGUGCAUCCAAAGACGAUGCAGGCUGCAGUUUAUAUAAUCAAGACUACAUUAGGAGUUGUUACAAUCUCGACAACGCACGUACACAUCUGUACUUAUCUAUACGACGUACUAGGCUUUAUGGUUAGGAGGUUAGGAUAUGCACCGUAUCGCUAACAUGUACUACUAACACCAAUAAUCCGCCAUGUGGGUUAGUAAUCAAAUAACUCCUUUGUGUAAUCCGUGGAUAUCGUGGUUAUCUAAACACUGAAAUUCCAAAGUUGAGGCUUAGUAUGUGUACACAAGACAUCAUCAAGGCAGGGGUUCAAAUCUCUUCAGAAGUUUAACAAGACAUCAUCAAAGCAAGGGUUCAGAUCUCUUCAGAAGUUUAACAAGACAUCAUCAAGCCAGGAGUUCAAAUCUCUUCAGAAGUUUAACAAGACAUCAUCAAAGCAGGGGUUCAAAUCUCUUUAGAAGUUUAACAAGACAUCAUCAAGGCAGGUGUUCAAGGGGCAGCGUUGGGAAUGCUUUGGCGUUGGCAAUGCUGAUUCAUACAAAGAAGGAGAUUGCUGGCACCUGCUAUUCUGGACCGGAAAAGAUCAUAGAAGAGUUGGAUAUUCUCUAGAACUCCAAAUGACCUAAAUUUACGAAGAAUUGUUUGGAACAUAUAAAAAUUAUUGGCAAAAGAAAUACCAGAAGGGGACCCACCAGUAGGCCACAAGCUCAGGGGCGCUCGCGCCCUACCCCCAGGGUGUGCCCCUGAGCCCGUGGGCCCCCGACAGGCCUCUGAUGUCCAUCUUGUACUGUAUUAGGCCAUUUGCCCUAUAAAAAAAAUCAAAGGAUUACUUUCGGGAGAAGCGGGACCGUCUCAAGGUGGAGCUAGGGCGGGAACAUUUUUGCCCUCAGGCGGAGCGAUUUCGCCGGGAAACAUCCCUCCGAGAAAAGGAAAUCAAGGACAUCUUCAUCAUCAACGCUUCCUCCAUUGUGGGAGGACCAAUCUUCAUCACCAUCUUCACCAGCACCAUCUCAUCUCAAGCUCUUGUUCAUGUCUUGUAUUUAAUCUUUGUCUCCAAAUGUCAGAUUGUUACCUGUGGGUCGCUAGUAGUGUUGAUUACGUCUCGUAGUUGAUGCUAGUUGGUUUAAUUGGUGAAAGAUUAUAUCUUCAGAUCUUGAAGCAUAUUCAUUACACCACUGUUCUUUUAACAUGGUGAUGAUUUGUGAGUAGUUACUUUAAUUCUUGAGGAAAUGCGAGAAAUCUUGUUAUAAAUAAUCAUCUAAAGUUGGUAAUUCGUUUGAUA